GACAAGAAGACCCUAAGAAUUUUAAAGAUAAUAAUUUUAAUAUUAAAAUUAAUAUCUUUUGGUUGGGGCAACUAAAAAAGAUUAUAAACUUUUUAUUUAAUAAAAUGAUCCAUUAUUAAUGAUAAUUUGAUAAAAAUACUCUAGGGAUAACAGCGUAAUAAUUUUUGAUAGAACAUAUAGACAAAAUAGUUUGCGACCUCGAUGUUGGAUUAGGAUACUUUUUUAAUGAAGAUGUUAAAAAAAGAAGUUUGUUCAACUUUUAAAGUCCUACUUGAUCUGAGUUCAGACGG
rnacentral:rRNA from 1 species